UACGUAGGGGGCUAGCGUUGUCCGGAAUCAUUGGGCGUAAAGAGCGCGUAGGCGGCUCGGUAAGUCCGCUGUAAAAGUCAAAGGCUCAACCUUUGAAUGUCAGUGGAAACUGCCGGGCUAGAGUCCGGAAGAGGCGAGUGGAAUUCCUGGUGUAGCGGUGAAAUGCGCAGAUAUCAGGAGGAACACCAAUGGCGAAGGCAGCUCGCUGGGACGUGACUGACGCUGAGACGCGAAAGCGUGGGGAGCAAACAGG
rnacentral:rRNA from 1 species